UGGGGAAUUUUGGACAAUGGGCGAAAGCCUGAUCCAGCAAUGCCGCGUGUGUGAAGAAGGCCUUCGGGUUGUAAAGCACUUUUGUCCGGAAAGAAAUCCUUGGCUCUAAUACAGUCGGGGGAUGACGGUACCGGAAGAAUAAGCACCGGCUAACUACGUGCCAGCAGCCGCGGUAAUACGUAGGGUGCAAGCGUUAAUCGGAAUUACUGGGCGUAAAGCGUGCGCAGGCGGUUUGCUAAGACCGAUGUGAAAUCCCCGGGCUCAACCUGGGAACUGCAUUGGUGACUGGCAGGCUAGAGUAUGGCAGGAGGGGGGUAGAAUUCCACGUGUAGCAGUGAAAUGCGUAGAGAUGUGGAGGAAUACCGAUGGCGAAGGCAGCCCCCUGGGCCAAUACUGACGCUCAUGCACGAAAGCGUGGGGAGCAAACAGGAUUCAGAUACCCUGGUAGUCCAGCGCCCUAAACGAUGUCAACUAGUUGUUGGGGAUUCAUUUCCUUAGUAACGUAGCUAACGCGUGAAGUUGACCGCCUGGGGAGUACGGUCGCAAGAUU
rnacentral:rRNA from 1 species